rnacentral:rRNA from 1 species
AGAAUCAACGCUGGCGGCGUGCCUCAGACAUGCAAGUCGUACGAUUAAAGCUCUCUUCGGAGAGUGUAUAGAGUGGCGCACGGGUGAGUAACACGUAAGUAAUCUACCUUCGAGUGGGGAAUAACAGUCGGAAACGACUGCUAAUACCGCAUAAUGCAGCGGCACCUAAUGGUGACAGUUGUUAAAGCAUUUAUGUGCUUGAAGAGGAGCUUGCGGCAGAUUAGCUAGUUGGUAAGGUAAUGGCUUACCAAGGCAACGAUCUGUAGCCGACCUGAGAGGGUGGUCGGUCACGACUGACACUGAAUAACGGGUCAGACUCCUACGGGAGGCAGCAGUCGGGAAUUUUGGGCAAGUGGGCGUAAAGGCCUAGACCCAGACAACGCCGCGU